GAUGAAGAACGCAGUGAAAUGCGAUAAGUAAUGUGAAUUGCAGAAUUCAGUGAAUCAUCGAAUCUUUGAACGCACAUUGCGCCCAUUAGUAUUCUAGUGGGCAUGCCUGUUCGAGCGUCAUUAAGUCCACUUAAGCCCUGCUUAGUGUUGGGAGACUGCUCCAGCGGUGCUACCCUGUAGCUACCCUGCAGCUCCUCAAAGACAGCGGCGGAGUUGUGGUAUCCUCUGAGCUUAGUAACUUGUUCUAGCUUUCGAGUACACCACUUCCCCUGCCGUAAAACCCUUAAUUUUUAAUGGUUGACCUCGGAUCAGGUAGGAAUACCCGCUGAACUUAAGCAUACAAUAAGCGGAGGA
rnacentral:misc_RNA from 1 species